UACGGGGGGGUAAGCGUUGUUCGGAAUUACUGGGCGUAAAGGGCUCGUAGGCGGCCAACUAAGUCAUACGUGAAAUCCCUCAGCUUAACUGGGGAACUGCGUGUGAUACUGGAUGGCUUGGAUUUGGGAGAGGGAUGCGGAAUUCCAGGGUGUAGCGGUGGAAAUGCGUAGAUAUCUGGAGGAACACCGGUGGCGAAGGCGGCAUCCUGGACC
rnacentral:rRNA from 1 species